rnacentral:rRNA from 1 species
CCUACGGGUGGCAGCAGUGGGGAAUAUUGGACAAUGGGCGAAAGCCUGAUCCAGCCAUGCCGCGUGUGUGAAGAAGGCCUUCGGGUUGUAAAGCACUUUCAGUGGGGAAGAAAGCCUUGGGGCUAAUACCCUCGAGGAAGGACAUCACCCACAGAAGAAGCACCGGCUAUACUCCGUGCCAGCAGCCGCGGUAAUACGGAGGGUGCGAGCGUUAAUCGGAAUUACUGGGCGUAAAGCGCGCGUAGGCGGUCUGAUAAGCCGGUUGUGAAAGCCCCGGGCUCAACCUGGGAACGGCAUCCGGAACUGUCAGGCUAGAGUGCAGGAGAGGAAGGUAGAAUUCCCGGUGUAGCGGUGAAAUGCGUAGAGAUCGGGAGGAAUACCAGUGGCGAAGGCGGCCUUCUGGACUGACACUGACGCUGAGGUGCGAAAGCGUGGGUAGCAAACAGGAUUAGAUACCCGAGUAGUC